rnacentral:rRNA from 1 species
CACGUAGUUAGCCGGCGCUUCUUUACCCACUACACUCACCACAACCCACAGUUGCGGCUUGACCACAGGCGAAAGAGGUUCACAACCCGAAGGCCUCCAUCCCUCACGCGGCGUCGCCGCAUCAGGCUUGCGCCCAUUGUGCAAUAUCCCCCACUGCUGCCUCCCGUAGGAGUCUGGGCCGUAUCUCAGUCCCAAUGUGACCGGUCACCCUCUCAGGCCGGCUACCCGUCAAAGCCUUGGUAAGCCAUCACCCCACCAACAAGCUGAUAAGCCGCGAGCCCAUCCCCCACCAGAAAAAACCCUUUCCACCAACCCCCAUGCGAAGACCAGUGAAUACCCGGUAUUAGCAGCCCUUUCAGACCGUUAUCCCGAAGAAGAGGGCAGGUUACUCACGUGUUACUCACCCGUUCGCCACUCAUCCACCACACAAAGCCAGCUUCAGCGUUCGACUUGCAUGUGUUACGCACGCCGCCAGCGUCUCUCGAGCCAGGACUCGAACUACU